UCAGGUUGUAGAUGUAUCCCAUCAUCCUCUCUCUCAGUACAGUCUCAGGUUGUAGACGUAUCCCAUCAUCCUCUCUCUCAGUACAGUCUCAGGUUGUAGAUGUAUCCCAUCAUCCUCUCUCUCAGUACAGUCUCAGGUUGUAGACGUAUCCCAUCAUCCUCUCUCUCAGUACAGUCUCAGGUUGUAGACGUAUCCCAUCAUCCUCUCUCUCAGUACAGUCUCAGGUUGUAGACGUAUCCCAUCAUCCUCUCUCUCAGUACAGUCUCAGGUUGUAGA